UCCGGUGUCGGGGCUCGGUCUGGAGCGCGAAUGGAGAAAGAGAGAAGAGACAGCGUAGAAUCUACGGGGAAAGGCCGUUCAGAGCUGUUGGUCUCGAUACUGCUUCCCGCUCUGACUUCGGAGGGGUCUCGAGAUGCCAAGAUGAUGUUGAGAAGCAUUUUCCUGACUGCUCUAGACUGCAAUAAACAAGAGAGAAACAGGUAAUGCUGCUGAAGGACGGUGAAGAGAGGAAGAUCAGCUGCCAAGCCAUACGAUGAAUCCAUUUAAGAAAAACUUGGGGAUCUGAGAAGAACUUGUGGGUCCUGGCAGACAAGAAGCUGGACACGAGCCAGCAGUGUGUGUUUGCAGCCCGGAAGGCCAGCUGUGUUCUGGGCUGCAUUAAAAAGGGGUGGCCAGCAGGGAGAGGGAGGUGAUCGUCCCCCUUGUUUGUCCCCCUCUGCUCGGCUCUUGUGAGGCCCCAUCUGCAGCGCUGCGUCCAGGGCCCCCAGCACAGGAAAGAUGUGGAGCUCUUGGAGCAGGAGCAGCUCUCCUGUGAGGAAAGGUUGAGGGAACUGGGCUUGUUUAGCUUGGAGAAGAGAAGACUCCAGGGAGACCUCAUUGUGGCCUUCCAGCACUUGAAGGGAGCGUAUAAACAGGAGGGGGAACGGCUGUUUGUGAGGGUGGGUGUUGAUAGGACAAGGGGGAAUGGUCUUAAACUGAGACAGGGGAGGUUUAGGUUGGAUAUUAGGAGGAAGUUUUUCACUCAGAGGGUGGUGAGGCACUGGCACAGGUUGCCCAAGGAGGCUGUGGAUGCCCCAUCCCUGCAGGCAUGGAUGUGGCUCUGGUGGUUGGCAACCCUGCACACAGCAAGGGCUUGGAACAAGAUGAGCAUUGUGGUCCUUUUCAACCCAGGCCAUUCUAUGAUUCUAUGAUAUGAAAAGACCCUUGCUCACUUCACUAUGCUUGCUAUACAGGGAAUCCAGAAUGGUAACAGCAGAGGUAAAUUCCUAUCCUGUAGAUGUAGAUAUGCAGGAACUGAAGUUAGAUUAAUCUAUUAUGUAACCACAGACAAGCCAAUUACUAACUAUCUCAGGCUAGGGCCACAUUCUAAAAUUUUGCCUGUGUUAAUGACAGGAAGCAGUACUUUACUGCUCCUGGACACAGGGGCCUGGGCACCCUGCUCUGGCUGGCACCAAAGGUGCAGUGGUUGGACCAGAUGGACCAGAGGUUCUUCCAACCUCAGACAGUCUGUGAUUCUGUGACAAAUACGUUCUGGUUGUGUCCUCAACUAAAUUACCACCAACUUUGCCGUGUGUGUGCAAUUCUGAAGUGUAAGAAAACUUGCAAAGUUUACUGACAGUUCUUGCUGUUAAAGAAGACGCCUUAGAUGUAUCAGUGAGAUCCUUUGUGCUGGUACACACUGUGCAUAGCACUGUGCUUUCUGUAGAAAAACUUAGAUGUCAACACCUUUGCAGAACUAAUACAAUGAUAAAUAAGCUCAUGUUAACAUUCCGUGAAGCACAAGGUGCUUUUGUAGACCUAAAGAACUUCAGCAAUGAGGGUAUUUUCUGGGAUAGAAGUUAUAACUGAGACCACAGUGGUCUCAACAGUAGUUUUUGCAACCAGCGCGGCCUUUCAUAAUGUUCUUUUUUACCCAUCAGUACUUGAGCACAAGUCUUACAAGGAGCAGCUGAGGGAGCUGGGAUUGUUCAGUGUGGAGAAGAGGAGGCUCAGGGCAGAACUCAUUGCACUCUGCAACCUCCUGAAGGGAGGCUGAGAUGAGGAGGGGUUUGACCUCUUCUCCCCAGCAACAAACAGGACCCAAGGAAAUGGCCACAGGUUGUACCAGAGGAAGUUUAGGUUAGACAUAACUUUUUCUCUCAGAUGGUGGUCAGGCACUGCAAUGGCUGCACAGGGAGGUGGUGGAGUCGCCGUUCCCGGCAGUGUUCAAGAGGCGCCUGGAUGAGGAGCUGGAGAUGUGGCUUAUUGCUUGUGGUGGCAAUGGUGAUGGGAGGGUGGUUGGACCAGGUGAUCUUGCGGGUCGUUUCCAACCUUGUGAUUCCAUGAUUCUAUAACAAAACUUAAUGUAAUGUCAUGAAGUUCUGCAGUCCCAUGUUUGUUCUCUUAAGUUAUGAAUUAUUCCAUGCUUGUGACUUUAAGCUGUAGAAUUUCAGACAUGCUUAUGUGUGGGGGUAAUAAAGAGAUUUGU